CCCAUUCACCCCCUAUGUAUAUCAUACUUAUUGAGAAAUUUAGUAUUGCAUGUUGUAGCUUCUCAAAAGUCAAGAAUAUAAAAAGGGUCACAUUGGGAAUUAAUAUUGAAAUAUAUUGAUAUUCAAAUAUAUGCCAAGGGGUCACAUUUAACUCACGGUAGCUUUUCAAGUUGAUUGAUGGUUGGCAUAUUAUUUCAUGUUCAAUUUGAAGAGCUCUAUAUAUGAUAUACAUCACUUAAAUACUUUUUGGUAGAGAAAAAAUAUUUGUAACAAUGAAGAGGGAAACACUUGUUGGCGUGUGUUUCUUUCUCAUUGUUCUCUUAGCUGCUCAAGAAACCGUUGCAAUGUUUAAGCAAUGUGCGAUACCUAGCAAAUUCUUCGAAGGUAAAUGCAAUGGUGUAUACGACGAUGAACGGUGUGAGGAUAUUUGCAUGAGAGAAGAACAUUCAGUAAGGGGGUCAUGCAAUAAAUAUUUGAUAUGCAUUUGUUAUCAUUGUUGAACUCUUCACUAGGACUUGCCUCUUCUAUUUUAAAUUGUGUUAUAUUUAGUCUUAUAAACUUCAAUUUUUUCUGGGUUGUAACAAUUACGGGUGUAAGGCGUCCUUACAAUACACCCGUGAUUGUCACUUGAUUUUGUGAAACGGUUGUUUUUAGGCAUUUUGCAUAGUCUUUUUUUGAAUGCUUUUAUUUUUGCUCACCUCUUGUAAAAUUGGUUCAUGAAAAUCUUCUUAGAAUAUAUUUUCCUGCAUUUCGAAUGAA